UACGUAGGUGGCAAGCGUUGUCCGGAAUUAUUGGGCGUAAAGCGCGCGCAGGCGGCCUCUUAAGUCUGAUGUGAAAUCUUGCGGCUCAACCGCAAGCGGCCAUUGGAAACUGGGGGGCUUGAGUACAGAAGAGGAGAGUGGAAUUCCACGUGUAGCGGUGAAAUGCGUAGAUAUGUGGAGGAACACCAGUGGCGAAGGCGACUUUCUGGGCUGUAACUGACGCUGAGGCGCGAAAGCGUGGGGAGCAAACAGG
rnacentral:rRNA from 1 species